GACAGAGGGUGCAAACGUUGUUCGGAAUUACUGGGCGUAAAGCGCGUGUAGGCUGCUUCGCAAGUCGGGUGUGAAAGCCCUGGGCUCAACCUAGGAAGUGCACUCGAAACUGCGAAGUUUGAGUCCUGGAGAGGAAGGCGGAAUUCUCGGUGUAGAGGUGAAAUUCGUAGAUAUCGAGAGGAACACCGGUGGCGAAGGCGGCCUUCUGGACAGUGACUGACGCUGAGACGCGAAAGCGUGGGGAGCAAACAGG
rnacentral:rRNA from 1 species